CCUACGGGAGGCAGCAGUGGGGGAUAUUGGACACUGGGGGGAACCCUGAUCCAGCGACGCCGCGUGAGUGAAGAAGUAUUUCGGUAUGAAAAGCUCUGUCAGCAGGGAAGAAAGCAAGGACGGUACCGGACAAAGAAGCCCCGGCUAACUACGUGCCAGCAGCCGCGGUAGUAAGUAGGGGGCAAGCGUUAUCCGGAAUUACUGGGUGUAAAGGGAGCGUAGACGGCUGUGCAAGUCUGGAGUGAAGGGCGGGUGCCCAACCCCCGGACUGCUCUGGAAACUGGAUGGCUGGAGUGCAGGAGAGGUAAGCGGAAUUCCUAGUGGAGCGGUGAAAUGCGUAGAUAUUAGGAGGAACACCAGUGGCGAAGGCGGCUUACUGGACUGUAACUGACGUUGAGGCUCGAAAGCGUGGGGAGCAAACAGGAUUAGAUACCCCAGUAGUC
rnacentral:rRNA from 1 species